AGAAAAAACAAGAAACAGCGUAUCUGAAAUUUAAUCUUCCUUAAAUUUGCAGAGCAGCCUACAGAGAAGAUUAACUACAUAAGCUGGACAUAUUUCAUUAUUCCUCUUAGGACAUGCAUAAUGACUUUCCCCCACUCAGUGUUUUCUGUUGCUGUUGAUUAUUGAGUUUCACUCCUCAGUAAAUUCAGUCUCAGCAAAGAACUGCUCACAGAAAUCAGGCACAGAGCAGUGGCACUCCUGGCUUGUCCCCUGGUCCGACUUCCAGCUCCAGCAGGAUGCCGGCCUGGUUUUCCCUUUUCCGGACACUUCCAUGGUCCUUUACAGCCCUGCUAACUCAUCCAGCCAAACAGGGAAUGGAGCAGCCCACCUUCCCCAGCCACCCUUCUGUAGGCACUACGUAACCUGAAAGUGGAAAAGAGCCAUGGGGAAGAGUACAAGACUGAUUCCCACAUACUCCCUUGAUGAGAAAGCCAAGAAGAAAAGAAGUACAAGAGGAAUGCUACUGCUGCACACCAUCUUACUUAUUAUGUAGAGCAGGAAUCUGUCUGUCACAGAGGAGGAAUUAACUUCUCCACAAAAGCAAACCCAGAAGAAAAGAGUGAAGAAAUGUAGUAGAUCUGCAGCUUGUGGAGUUUCCAUUUGGAAUAUACUUCUCAGAAGACAGACAAAACAGGAUUGAAAAAACCUACCAGCCAGUGAGGAAUAUUUAUCCAGACUCCCUCUCCAAAACUGCUUUAUUGAUCAACCUCUACAGAGGUCUUCCCCAUUGACUUCUACAUAGAUGCCAAAAAAAAAUUCUUACUCUUAAAAAGGACAUUUGAAAGAGACUAGGGAGUUUCCCACUGAGAAAGUUCCUGAAAGUUGAGUUUUAUCUCUAUCUAUUUCCACCAGUAAAGAAUAGAGUGCUAUUCUUAAAAGGGAACAGAUUUUUUGGUUUUGGCCAGAUAUAGAAAUCUUUGUUGCUAUAUUUGGCUUCCAAUGUAGGACUUUCUGCUUGCUGGUGGGAGGAGGAAAUUAGAGCUGGUGUUAUUCAUAACUAAAUGGGCAUGAAAAACAAACCACGUCUCUUUGAACUGUAGUGCUACUAUGGGCAUUCACAUUACAAAUCAUUUUUAAAGCCUGCAAUACCUCUGUGCACGCAACAGCCAACAUCAAAACUUUAUUACCCGCUCAUUUUCCCUCAGUGAUAAACCAUUGCAGAUGUACAGUUAUUGUCAAGGCAAAGACAUUGGUGUAGUUCGUGGUGGUGAUUGUGCUCUGUUUUGUUUUUAAAUAUAAUUUCUCGCUCAUCUUGAAAGAAAGCAAAAGUGAUGUUCUGAAAGACAGACAAUUACUGGAAGGCUGCAGGAUCCAGCCCCCCUCUUCUUCCCAACAACCCCAAAAAGAAAUCAGCUAAAUUAAUUGGCAUCCCAGCCCAACACACAGCUCAGCCAUGAGGAAUUCUCACCAGAUGUCUCAGUCCCCACCCGGCCUCCCACAUCACGCAGGCAGCAUAACCCUUCAGAGCCUGAGGUCCUGUCGGGGCGACUGGCCCCACCGUGCGGGGGGUUGAUGCAGAAGGCUGAUGUUAGCCCCAGCAGCUGGCCCCCACCCACACUUACCUCCCCCACUAGUGUGGCAGAUGCCAACCUCACUCCUCACAUAUUCCAUGGCAUUUCCCUCAUGCCAAGCAGGCUGAGCACUGCUGAGGUUAUCCGGCUCCCUCCUGGCACCAAGGGAAGCGUUUCCCCAUGGCAUCAGGCAGGACCCCAGCUGGCAGUCAGUAAAAUCCAAAAUAAGAGUUAUCUGGAUGGAAGUGAUGAGAUUUUUGAUGGAUGUCAGGUCAGUAAAUCCAACUGAAUGGCACAGAUUUACAUGAAUGGAGGCUGUGGUUCAGCUUGAAUAUAAUCAGUCACAAAACAAUUCCUUUUCUGGAGCAUCACUGCUUCCCCUCUUGUUUUCUGAUGCAGUGAGUACAUACAGAAAUAACACCUAUGAGCAUUUGGAAACCAAGGCAUGGGGCAAGGCAGCUGGAGCUCUACUCUGGUGAGAAUAGUAGAUGUUACUAAAGGAGAAAAAGCACAUCAGCUCACUCAUCCCCCAGUUUAACAGCACUGUUGUUGCCUAGAACACGUUUACUUCACUGAAGCUAUUUGUGGUUGUCCUAAAGCAAAAGGGCUCUCCCAGAUCUUUCCUCACAGACUAAACCACAGUGUACACAGUUCACUUCAAAGAAAGAAGUUUCCUGCAAUGUUUAUUCCAGCUUUUUCUUGACACUUAGUUUGUACCAAAUUUCUAAGUCCUCACACUGCUCUGGUAUUUUUUGAUGGCUGUCAUGUCCCUUUCUACUUCUUUCAUGUACAAGCCAAGCAGUUGUUAGGCAUCAUUUGCUUAUUUUGCAAUGGUCUUUAUCCCAUCCUCACCUCCAUCGUCCAUGCGACUGUUUAUCUCCCAGUAGUUUCCAACAACUUUCUCUCCUACAGAAAGUUCUGAAUGCAAAUUCCCCCUUCCCUGGUCUUCCUUUCCUUACAUUUCAAGUUCUUACUCAUGGCCCAAGAAAGAAAAGGGCGAUUCUGAGCAGAGGCAAAGCACUCUGCUUGCAAAACUCUCUGCUUACUGUCCUGGAAAUCAGUCCUGGAGCAAGACAUAUAGGGAAAUUCCUGCUCAUCUACUGGUGCUCUGAUACUGUAUAGCCCAUAUGGUCAGGAUCUUCACAGAAUUUUGCAACUAAACUCUUAACAGCUCCCUGCUGAUCGCGUGCAAGUGGCAAUUUUUCAAAAGCUCUGUGCUUGGCCAAAGUUUGGAGGUUUCCCCUCCCCUGCUGCUGGAACAGUAAAUGAUAUAUUUGUGACCAAAAUACCAAACGUUCAGCCCUCAAUCCAGAAUGCAGACAUGCGAACAUCACUCAAUUAAACAGCUGUAAAAUAAUUUUAGCAAGGGCAUAGUCACUUCCUUAAUGGGAAUUACUGAACUGUCAUAAAAAAGAAUCAAUUUGUGAUAAAAAACUUUUAUGGAAAACUUCUACUUGAUGAGCAUCAAAACUGCAACAAAAUUAUAAAACUAAAAAUCUGUUACAGCAAGAAGCCUCAGGUCUACCAGGUAUACCAUCUUACCAGAUCUGAUUUUAAAAUAGCCUCUCAUUUUAGAGCAAUUUAAAAGGAGAAAAAAAAAAAAAAAAAAAAAAAAAAAAAGACAUUGCAGCAAAUGCAACAGACCCUAUCUAAUGAGAAAGCUAGUGUCUUCAUGCAAGAGCCCUUUUAGAAAUCCCUUAGAUGCUCACCUUUUGCUCUAUCCUAUUUCAGGAGAGAAUCAGUAGUUUAGGACACUUGUUUUAAAAUGUUUUCAACAGGAGACAAAGUCUUGGCUGUAGAAAUUAAUCUCAUGAAAAAAAAAUAGAAACUCAGGAUGCUGUAAUUUACAAAGAGAUUUAUGAGUUCUUCAGUUGCAUAAGAAUAAAAAUAAUAAAAAAAAAGCAUUAGCUAAUUGUUGAGAAAUACAGACCAAGCUGAAAAUACUACAUUAAAAAUAUAACAAUAAACUUCACAUUAAAUUAUUUAUUCAGUAAUUAAAACAGUGACACUUUUCUUUAUACAAAGACUCCCACCAGUUUUGAUGAGAAGGAUGAAUGUUCAGUGGAGGUUUUGAGGGUAGCAGGAUUAAGAAUGAAGGGGGGAAGGAGAGGGACCCUGACUUGACUGAUGGUUUUAAAUGAUAACUACAAACAGCUAGCAGAGAAAGUGCAGCAUAGUUCUGCAGAUACUUUACUAGAUUACUGUAAACCUCAACUGCUAUGAACAUUGAUUGUAUAUAGGUGCCAAUUACCUGAGCCCAAGCUUGCUGGAAUCAAUGUGGAUUCCAGUACGUGUCCACCAAUGUUGGACCAGAUCCUGGGCAUCCACUCUUUUCCAGCCAACAAUGGACUGCAGUUUAGGCAUUCACAGCUGGUCCCAAUGAUCUUAAUGGCAUCAAAGUCUUCAACAGACUUUGAGGAAGAAAGGAGGAGCAGGGCUCCUGCCUGCAAAACACCACUGUCAGUGAUACACAGCUGAUCUAUCUUGAAGCCUUGUGCCUUUGUGUGGGUGCAUAACAACUGUGAUGUUUUAAUCACCUCCAUCCCUAAACUUAAGUUUAUUGGGAGCUAAAAACAUCUUGCAGUUCAGAGGGAACUCCAAACAAGCUAUCACAGGUCCCACCAUGGUGUCAUGGACACCACAGAAAAAGAACAGCCAGAGGAUUAUGGGCACUGUUCUGACCAAUGGCUGCUAAAACAAAUGUUUCCAGAGAUAUCUUUAAUUCCCUUUGGUAAUUAGUUCAUCCCAUAAGAGGGUACGAGUGUAAACUUGCAAGUACAGUCUAAUUUUAAUGUGUUGUGCAGCAUCUGUCCAACCAUCUACAUACGAUACUGGAGAAGAACAGUUCUGCUCACAGAACUACCAUCUCAACCUUUGUAAGACCUCUCCUGACCUUGCACAGGCAAGAGUCCUUUAGUCUUUAAAGGGUCCUUUUCUGCAUCAUAGCUGUCAGAUUGUGCCCAUAGGGCUAAUAUAUAAAAGCAGUAUUUAUUUUUAAAUACCAUCCUGCUUUACAUGAGAUUUCAGCUCCAAUAAACAUGCAUCAACUUUUUAAAAAAUUCACACAAAAACAAUAUUUAUCAUCCAAAUACCCCUUAAAAGCUCUAAGGCAGAUAUAUUAAAGACAGAAGUCAAGUUUAAAAUAUAUAUGUAUAUAUGUAAUUUUGAACUGUUUGAAAGAAACAGAAGUUGCUGGUCCAUUGAUAUGGAGAAAAAUAUUGUACCUGAAGUGAAUUAAAAUAACUGUAUUCAACAAGAUACAUUUGUCUACUGAAAGGCAACAUAUUGUAUCUCUUUGCAUAACUCCUUUGACACCAUGGUCAUCUCUACACACACAACAAAUCAGGGCUUUUGAAAGAUUAAGUUUUGGGGAAAGGGGUUGUCUUCUCUCUCUCUCUCUCUCUUUUUUUUUUUUUUUUUUCCUUUCCUUUCUUAAUUUUAUUUAUUUAUUUAUUUUUUAAGUGUGGAAAAAUUCCAUUCACUCCUGAGGUUACAGAGAAUGCAAUAAA